CUAUAAGCAUAUCUCAUUUCAAUGGAGAUUAUUUGGCUCUGUCCCCUUAGUCAUAGUCUAUAAGCAUAUCUCAUUUCAAGGGAGAUUAUUUGGCCCUGUCCCCUUAGUCUUGGUAUUUUACAUUUUUUGCUUAGUAAACAUGUAUAAGUUGGCGUAUCUCAUUUUAAAGGGAACCAUUAGUGGUAGGCCAAAGUUAACUGGUACUCAGUUUUCAGUUGUACAAGCAUUAGUGGUAGGUCAAUAUUAACUAGUACUCAGUAUUCAGCUGUACAAGCAUUAUCACAUUUCAUUUCCAUGGAGAAUAUUUGGCCCCUUCUCCUUAGUCAUGG
rnacentral:lncRNA from 1 species